rnacentral:tRNA from 1 species
GGUCCAUUAGUGUAGCGGUCAUCACGUCGGAUUCUGAUUCCGGAUACCUCAGUUCGAUUCUGGGAUGGACCU